AUCAAAUCGAGAAAAGACAGCCAAAAAAGUCAACUAAAGCCCUAGAGCCGAUCUGUUGUAUACCUUCUAGCCAUGAUUCUCUGAUUUUUUGAUGUAUUUUUUAGAUGAUUAUCUAUUGUACUUAGUUUUAGGUGUUUUGUUUCCAAUUUUCUUAGUUUUAGAUGGGUUAUAAUAGCUAGAUUUACUUUCUGCACUUUAUUUUUUACCUCAUUUUGAAUGAAUGCUAAAUACAUGUUGUAUGAU
rnacentral:lncRNA from 1 species